UACGUAGGGUGCAAGCGUUAAUCGGAAUUACUGGGCGUAAAGCGUGCGCAGGCGGUUCGGAAAGAAAGAUGUGAAAUCCCAGGGCUUAACUUUGGAACUGCAUUUUUAACUACCGGGCUAGAGUGUGUCAGAGGGAGGUGGAAUUCCGCGUGUAGCAGUGAAAUGCGUAGAUAUGCGGAGGAACACCGAUGGCGAAGGCAGCCUCCUGGGAUAACACUGACGCUCAUGCACGAAAGCGUGGGGAGCAAACAGG
rnacentral:rRNA from 1 species